GACUGAAGGCUUGGCCGCUCCGCCUCACUGAGCCGGUUCAGUCAGCGCAGGUGUUCCUGGAACGCCAGUCCCUUAGGAUGGGAGAGAGCGGAGAAGGCAAAGAGGAACAGACUGAAUGGGAAAGAGACUGGAUAGAUUCUAAUAUGGUGAAAACAUCAGAAGCAGUUCAGGGACUAGGAAGUGGGAACUCUAGAGAUGAGAGACAUUCUGCUGGGUGGUUUUUAAAGUUUCUUCCAGAGUCAUCUGCCUCAUUAACAACAAUUUUUGUGGAAGAAGUCUGUCUUUGAUUUUAUAAACUCACGUGACUCCUUGGUCUGUUACGAAUGCACAGUGCUCCAGUCCUUCAAUAAGACCAUUACAUACUUUCACCAUGUCAUCUAUAGGUGCUUUUUCUCCAGUGU
rnacentral:lncRNA from 1 species